UUCUCAGUGGUCCAACGGUCAAGACUCGUGCCUGUCAAUCGCACGCAACCGGGGUUCGACUCCCCGCUGGGAAG
rnacentral:tRNA from 1 species